rnacentral:rRNA from 1 species
AACGAACGCUGGCGGCAUGCCUAACACAUGCAAGUCGAACGAGAUCCUUCGGGGUCUAGUGGCGCACGGGUGCGUAACGCGUGGGAAUCUGCCCUUAGGUUCGGAAUAACAGUUAGAAAUGACUGCUAAUACCGGAUGAUGACGUUAAGUCCAAAGAUUUAUCGCCUGAGGAUGAGCCCGCGUAGGAUUAGCUAGUUGGUGUGGUAAAGGCGCACCAAGGCGACGAUCCUUAGCUGGUCUGAGAGGAUGAUCAGCCACACUGGGACUGAGACACGGACCAGAACCCUACGGGAGGAAGCAGUGGGGAGUAUUAGAAAAUGGUCGCAAGCUUGAUCAACCAUUUACGCGGGGAUGAUGAAGGCUUUAGGGUGGUAAAGCUCUUUGACCAGGGAUGAUAAUGAAAGUACCGGGAGAAAAGGCCCGGGCUAACUCCGUG